GGUAGGUGUAGCUUAGUGGUAGAACAUAUGCUUCAUGUGCUUUAGGCCCUGGGUCCAAUCCCCAGUACUCCA
rnacentral:tRNA from 1 species